rnacentral:rRNA from 1 species
ACCAGUACCGUGAGGGAAAGGCGAAAAGAACCCCUGUGAGGGGAGUGAAAUAGAACCUGAAACCGUAUACGUACAAGCAGUGGGAGCAGACUUGUUCUGUGACUGCGUACCUUUUGUAUAAUGGGUCAGCGACUUAUAUUUAGUAGCAAGGUUAAGCGAAUAGCGGAGCCGUAGCGAAAGCGAGUGUUAACUGCGCGUUUAGUUGCUAGGUAUAGACCCGAAACCCGGUGAUCUAGCCAUGGGCAGGUUGAAGGUUGAGUAACAUCAACUGGAGGACCGAACCCACUAACUUUGAAAAGUUAGGGGAUGACUUGUGGCUGGGGGUGAAAGGCCAAUCAAACCGGGAGAUAGCUGGUUCUCCCCGAAAUCUAUUUAGGUAGAGCCUCGGACGAAUUCCAUUGGGGGUAGAGCACUGUUAAGGCUAGGGGGUCAUCCCGACUUACCAACCCUUUGCAAACUCCGAAUACCAAUGAGAACUAUCCGGGAGACACACGGCGGGUGCUAACGUCCGUCGUGAAGAGGGAAACAACCCAGACCGCCAGCUAAGGUCCCAAAUACCAAUUAAGUGGGAAACGAUGUGGGAAGGCUUAGACAGCUAGGAGGUUGGCUUAGAAGCAGCCAUCCUUUAAAGAUAGCGUAACAGCUCACUGGUCUAAAUAAGUUGUCCUGCGGCGAAGAUGUAACGGGGCUCAAGCCAUGAGCCGAAACUUCGGAUGCAUUUAAUGCAUGGUAGCGGAGCGUAGUGUGAC